rnacentral:miRNA from 1 species
GGUGCAGGCCGCGGCAGGGCUGGGCUGGGCUGGGCUCUGCAUCCGCAGCACGACGG